UGACCCCAGGUCAGGCGGACUACCGCUGGUUUAAGAUAUCAAUAAGCGGGAAAAGACAAACUUACUAGGAUUCCCUUAGUAACGGCGAGCGAACCUGGGGAACAGCCCGGCUGAAAAUCGGGCGGCUUCGUCGUCCGAAUUGUAGUCUGGAGAAAGCGUCCUCAGCGGCGGAGACGGCCCAAGUCCCCCUGGAAGGGGGCGCGUGAGGGGGUGAGAGGCCCCGUACGUGCCCGGACCUGUCGCACCACAGGCGCUGUCUGCGAGUGCGGUUGUUUGAAUGCGGCCCCCAAUUGGGCGGUAAAUUCUCGCCAAGGCUAAUAUGGCGUGUAGACCGAUAGCAAACAAGUACGCGAGGGAAAGAUGAAAAGGACUUUGAAAGAGAGUCAAAGCAAGUGCUUGAAAUGUUGGGAGGGAAGGAAUGGGGCCGGGCGAUGCGUCCCGGUCGGAUGUGGAACGGCUUGUAAGUCGGUCCGCCGAUCGGUCGGGACGUGGGACCGGUGCGGAAUUGGUUACGGCGCGCCCCAAAGCCCAUGAUAUAUGCCUGUUUGGAGAUGCCGUGUUGCCGAUCGUGGUUGGCAGCUGCGCGCCGUCACGGCGUGCUUCGGCACCUGCGUGCUCCUGGCACCGCGGCCUGCGGGGGCACCCCAUUCGGCCGUCUUGAAAAACACGGACCAAGGAGUCUGACAUGUGUGCGAGUCAACGGGUGAGUAAACCCGCAACGCGCAAGGAAGCUGAUUGGCGGGAUCCCCUCGUCGCGCGGUGGGGCACCGACCGACCGCCUUGAUCUUCUGAGAAGUUCGGUGUGAGCAUGCCUGUUCGGGACCCGAAAGAGAGAUAGUGAACUAUGCCUUGAGCGGGGCGAAGCCAGAGGAAACUCUGGCUGGAGGCCCGCAAGCGAUACUGGACGUGCAAAUCGUUCGUCUGACUUGGGUAUAGGGGCGAAAGACUAAUCGAACGUCUAGUAGCUGCGUUCCCUCCGAAGUUUCCCUAGGGAUAGCUGGAGCCCGGGUGCGAGUCUAUCGGGUAAAGCGAAUGAUUAGAGGCAUUGGGGCGCAACGCCCUCGACCUAUUCUCAAACUAUUAAAUAGGUAGGGACGGCGCGGCUGCUUUGUUGAAGCGCGCCACGGAAUCGAGAGCUCCAAGUGGGCCAUUUUUGGUAAGCGAACUGGCGUAUGCGGGAUGAACCGGAGGAAGCCGGGUUACGGUGCCAAACUGCGCGCUAACCUAGAACCCACAAAGGGAUGUUGGUCGAUUUACAAGACAGCAGGACGGUGGUCAUGGAAGUCGAAAUCCGCUAAGGAGUGUGAAACAACUCACCUGCCGAAUCAACUUAGCCCCGAAAAUGGAUGGCGCUUAAGCGCGCGACCUACACCCGGCCGUCGAGGCAAGUGCCAGGCCCGAUGAGUAGGAGGGCGCGGCGGUCGCUGCAACCUUGGGCGUGAGGCCCGGGCGGACGGCGUCGGUGCGGAUCUUGGUGGUAGUAGCAAAUAUUCAAAUGAGAACUUUGAAGGGCGAAGAGGGGAAAGGUUCCUUGUGAAACGGCCACUUGCACAUGGGUUAGUCGAUCCUAGAGACGGGGGAAGCCGUCAGAUAGCGUUGUUUCACGCGGGAGCUUCGGAAAGAGGAAUCGGGUUAAAAUUCCUGAAACCGGGGGACUGGCGGGUGACGGCAACGUCUGGGAUUCCGGGAGACGUCGGCGGGGGGCCUCGGGAAGAGUUAUCUUUUCUGUUUAACAGCCUGCCCACCCUGGGAAAACGACUCAGUCGGAGGUAGGUUCCAGCGGCUGGAAGAAGCAGCCGCACGGUUCGCGCGGGUUGUCCGUGCGGCCUCCGGCGGCCUUGAAAAUCCGGGGGGACCGAGGUGCCUUUCCCACGCCCGUGUUAAUAUAAACCGCAUCGGGUCUCCGAGAUGUGAAAGCCUCUGGUCGAAUGGAACAAUGU
rfam:Helianthus annuus linkage group 3, whole genome shotgun sequence.